CAUGACGAGUAUUUCGAACACGAACUAGUUUGUUCUGGGUAGCUACAUACGGUACAGGAAUCGCCGUUUAUUACCUUAAUGUGAGUACUGACACAUUUGAGCAAACUACGAUAACAAG